CCCCACCUUGGCCCCUAGAUCAGUCCGUAUCGGGUCCCUGACCCGGGUCUGUCUGGAGCCUGGGCAGGAGCCAGAGCCGGGAAGGGAGGGCGCGUGUUCCGCAGGCUCUGGCUAGCGAGGCUGUGGGGCGGGUCUGUGGGAAGAGCCCCCGGCAACCUACCCUGAGGAGGAGACGGAGCCGCCCUGCGCCUCGCCCCGUUCUGGGCGGAGAGGACCGCGGGAGUGGCCGGCCACGCUCCCGCGGCUGACACCAGGUGAGCGCUCCCGAGGGGAGGUCUCCCCGCGUCACGUGACCGCCUCCGCCGCCGUCAUUGUUACCGGGGUCAGAGACCCUCCCGGCGUGGCCUGGGGACCCCGGGCCUGGAGAGCCGAGUGAGUCUCCUUGCCCCGCCCAGAGAGUCUUGAUGCUGGCUUGGAGCAGAGACUGACCCCGGACCACUGGAGCCUUGGUUUGCUCAGGUGGGACGGGCACUGUGGCACUGGGCUCCGGGAACAGCACGGCUGGGAUUCGGCUGGGGGCAGGGCGCCUGUACAGCUCUCCGGGCCAGCAGCCGCAGUUUGUGUGGCUUCUCGGACGUGCACCCCCAAACUUCAGCCAGGAAUGAGGCCUCGAGGAAAUCCCCCACCAGCCCGGUAAGUGGGGGUCCUGGGACUGACUUCAAAACAGGAAGUGCCUGCCGCCUGCCCGCCCUCCUGUUCCAGGAACUCCAGAGGCAGGAAGCUCAGCCGGCUGUCCCUGGCGCCUGCCGCCCGGCUGGCCAGGGUUUUGCUAGUCGGCAGGUGGAUCGCCCUUUGCUCCUAGGCUGGCAGGCAGGUCACCUGAGGCCUAUUUGUCCAGGAAGUAGACGGGAGCCUCCUGUGGACACACAGGCCCUCCCUCCUGCCACCCCUGGGGUCCCUCUGCCAGCCCUGGGCAGUGUGGGGGUGUCUGGCCAGUGCUGCUGUCAGUGGCAGGAUCUAGUCACACAUGAUAUUUACUGAGCACCCAGGGUGUGCCUGCCCCAGGGGUGUCUGUUGACAUCAGUCAGGAGAGGCGCAGGGGGAGCCGCCUGGAUCUUUCUGCCAGGGGUGAGAGCAUUGUCUGAAGGGGGCCCACAGGGUCCCCCUGUCUGUCUGGCCUGGGCUCCAGGCCUAGCCCUGUGGUAGAGACCCGCCCAGGGGCCUGGGCGCCUGUUGGGCGGCCCCAGCUGCAGCCCCGCCCACGCACUCCUCCUCCUCCCCCCCUCCCUGAGCCCCAGGACAUUCCAUUCAUUCCGGGCUCACUGUGGCUGGCGCGGCCCGCUGGGCGGGGCGUGGGUGAGUGGGGAAGGCUGGAAGGACAGGCUUGGUGGGGACUGAUACUGCUGGGUGGACUGCGGGGGGGUGUGGGGAAAGUGGGGCCUUUGUGGGGGGGUAGCAGGAGGGCCUGUACCCAUGGAUACCCCAAGAGAGUCUUGCUGUUCUCGCGUCUCCCCAUCUUCC
rnacentral:lncRNA from 1 species